rnacentral:rRNA from 1 species
UACGGAGGGUGCGAGCGUUGUCCGGAAUCACUGGGCGUAAAGGGCGCGUAGGCGGUGCGAGAAGCGUGUGGUGAAAGGCCGGGGCUCAACUCCGGCUCGGCCGUGCGGACUCUCGCGCUUUGUGAGUGCUGUAGAGGCGGGCGGAAUUCCGGGUGUAGCGGUGGAAUGCGUAGAGAUCCGGAAGAACACCGGUGGCGAAGGCGGCUUCUUGGGCCCUACCUGACGCUGAGGCGCGAAAGCCAGGGGAGCGAACGGG